GAUGAAGAACGUAGCGAAAUGCGAUAAGUAAUGUGAAUUGCAGAAUUCAGUGAAUCAUCGAAUCUUUGAACGCACAUUGCGCCCGUCAGUAUUCUGGCGGGCAUGCCUGUUCGAGCGUCAUUACGCCCCUCAAGUCCCCUGUGGACUUGGUGUUGGGGAUCGGCGAGGCUGGUUUUCCAGCACAGCCGUCCCUUAAAUUAAUUGGCGGUCUCGCCGUGGCCCUCCUCUGCGCAGUAGUAAAACACUCGCAACAGGAGCCCGGCGCGGUCCACUGCCGUAAAACCCCCCAACUUUUUAUAGUUGACCUCGAAUCAGGUAGGGCUACCCGCUGAACUUAAGCAUAUCAAUAAGCGGAGGA
rnacentral:misc_RNA from 1 species